AUGCUUCGCUCGUUUGGUUGUGUUUGCUAUGUUCUUCUUGCCCCUCGCGAACGCACCAAACUGACCGCUCAGUCUGUUGAGUGUGUCUUCUUAGGCUACAGUGAUGAGCAUAAGGGCUAUCGUUGUUGGGAUCCUAGUGGUCGUCGGAUGCGUAUCUCUCGAGAUGUGACUUUUGAAGAGUCUCGUCCCUUCUACCCACGCCCAUCUUCCUCGACUUUUUCAGUGCAGGAUAUCUCUUUCCUCACUUUUCCUGACUCACUUAUCACCCCUGCCGACACUGUACCUCUCUGUUCCACUUCCUCUUCACAUCUAGUUGACUUGCAACCACCAUCCUCCCCGGUUUCCUCGCCUAGCAUGUCACCUGGUUCUCCACCCUCAUCUCCGGUGACUUCCUCCCCGGUUUCCUCUCCCAGUUUGUCACCGGAUUCUACACCUUCAUCUCCAGUGACUUCUUCGUCGCCACCCCCUGAUUCUACCUUGUCGAUUCCUCCUUCUAUUAUUCCAUCUCUUCCUCAGCAUUACACUCGUCGUCCACGACCAGUUGAUGCCUCUGUGGAUGGGUCGUCAUCUUCCUCUCAGCCUACUUAUGGCUUGCGUUCU
rnacentral:rRNA from 1 species